AUUGUAUUGAUUUGUGUUGAGAGAAUAAUGUGUCCUAGGGGGGUCCCUUGCCCCUCCUUAUAUAGUCCGGAGGGCAGGGUUACAGAUCUGGAAACUAAUCCUAGUCGAUUACAAUUGCCAUAGAUAGUUCGAUAUCAAUUCCUAUUCUAACCGACUAGAAUCCCGCUUGAUCUCCACAUCUUGUUUCCUUGCGCGAAACUCCAAACUGUCGGAUCAAGCCUUGAACUUGUCUCGUAAUGGGCCAAGCCUCCUGGCCCAAGUCUAGCCGUAAGGGUAUAGGGGUUUAUACCCCCACAGCUAGUCCCCGAGCACCAUGUAUUGUGAAGUAACAC
rnacentral:lncRNA from 1 species